UGAGGAAUAUUGGUCAAUGGACGCAAGUCUGAACCAGCCAAGUAGCGUGCGGGAUGACGGCCCUAUGGGUUGUAAACUGCUUUUAUAUGGGGAUAAAGUGGGGAACGUGUUCCCUUUUGCAGGUACCAUAUGAAUAAGGACCGGCUAAUUCCGUGCCAGCAGCCGCGGUAAUACGGAAGGUUCGGGCGUUAUCCGGAUUUAUUGGGUUUAAAGGGAGCGUAGGCCGUUUGGUAAGCGUGUUGUGAAAUGUAGGAGCUCAACUUCUAGAUUGCAGCGCGAACUGUCAGACUUGAGUGCGCACAACGUAGGCGGAAUUCAUGGUGUAGCGGUGAAAUGCUUAGAUAUCAUGAAGAACUCCGAUUGCGAAGGCAGCUUACGGGAGCGCAACUGACGCUGAAGCUCGAAGGUGCGGGUAUCGAACAGG
rnacentral:rRNA from 1 species